rnacentral:rRNA from 1 species
AUUGAACGCUGGCGGCAGGCCUAACACAUGCAAGUCGAGCGGGGUUUUCGGACCUAGCGGCGGACGGGUGAGUAAUGCGUAGGAAGCUGCCCGAUAGAGGGGGAUACCAGUUGGAAACGACUGUUAAUACCGCAUAAUGUCUACGGACCAAAGUGUGGGACCUUCGGGCCACAUGCUAUCGGAUGCGCCUACGUGGGAUUAGCUAGUUGGUGAGGUAAUGGCUCACCAAGGCGACGAUUUCUAGCUGGUUUGAGAGGAUGAUCAGCCACACUGGAACUGGGACACGGUCCAGACUCCUACGGGAGGCAGCAGUGGGGAAUAUUGGACAAUGGGCGCAAGCCUGAUCCAGCCAUGCCGCGUGUGUGAAGAAGGCCUUCGGGUUGUAAAGCACUUUCAGCGAGGAGGAAGGGUGGUGUGUUAAUAGCACAUCAUUUUGACGUUACUCGCAGAAGAAGCACCGGCUAACUCUGUGCCAGCCGCCGCGGUAAAAC